GAUGAACGCUGGCGGCGUGCCUAAUACAUGCAAGUCGAGCGAACGGACGAGAAGCUUGCUUCUCUGAUGUUAGCGGCGGACGGGUGAGUAACACGUGGAUAACCUACCUAUAAGACUGGGAUAACUUCGGGAAACCGUAGCUAAUACCGGAUAAUAUUUUGAACCGCAUGGUUCAAAAGUGAAAGACGGUCUUGCUGUCACUUAUAGAUGGAUCCGCGCUGCAUUAGCUAGUUGGUAAGGUAACGGCUUACCAAGGCAACGAUGCAUAGCCGACCUGAGAGGGGGUAGGCCCACCUGGAACUUGAGAGGCGGCCCGGCGCCCAAGGGGAGGCACAGGUAGGGAAUCUUCGGAAAAGGGGGAAAGCCUGACGAAGCAACGCAGGGUGGUUGAAGAAGGGCUGCGGAUGGUAAAACGCUUUUUUUGGGGAAAAACAAUUGUGAAAGUAACGGUGCAAGUCUUAACGGAACCGAAAAAGAAGCCCCCGGCAAACUACGG
rnacentral:rRNA from 1 species